AAUAUUGACUUCCUGAUGGUGUGUUCAGAUAUGAUUUCCUGGUGAAGGAGUGUCCCUCAUUGAGUUCUAAGUGCAUCUAAUGACCUCAGCAGGUCAGGCAUGUUUUGUAUUUUUAAGAGAAGCAGGAAGGUCUGCUGAUUGUCUCCUGGGAUCUUUAAGAAGCCACCUAGGAGACCCCGCCAGGGCCUCAGGACACAGAGCUGACUUACUCAGAUUUCCCUGCUCACCAGGGUUUGGCGGCACCUUUGACUCUAUCAAGAAGAAUAUCUAAUCCAUACCUUGAACAUACGCCUUCCCAGAUUUAUGGAGAGAAUUCUUCUUGUGCAGGAAGAGCAUUGAGGAAUAUUAUUAUCGUUCAAGCAGCUGACCUGAUAAAGGACAGAGUGAACCUCAAGGGGUUUUACAGGAGGAGCUGCGUUGGGUCAGAACUGGUAGACUGGCUUCUAGAACACUGUCCUUUCGUCCAGUGCAGAUCUAUGGCCAUAGGAGUCUGGCAACUCCUACUGGACAUGGGAAUUAUGUUAUCAGUGGACCAGCAUCUAUACUUUCAAGAUACUUAUGUUUUCUACCAGUUUUCCUCUGAUGAAUG
rnacentral:sRNA from 1 species